rnacentral:misc_RNA from 1 species
AUUCAGCAUUUCAUUUCACCAGCGGUUCGAAUAUGACAGCAAUAGAAGCGCGGGUAAUACAAACAAGAAUGUUUCUUAAACAAAUGGUAAAUGUCUCACAAACAUAUUUUGUUCAGUUUUGGAGAUCACAGAAUGAUGUGUGUGACAUUCAACAUUCAGCAACAGGGAAAGCAGAGCCAAUGCUAUCUCCCAAUCGAUAACAUUUAAUAUUAACAGGGUAUGGGCCAAUCUCGACGUGGUUUUCCUCCCCUCCAACAAAGUAACAGAUAGUGUAGAUGGCAACUUCAAAUUCAGGGCUAACUCCAAUCAAACUGCUUGACACAGAUUUGAGGACACCGUUCCAUUCAAACUGUAUAGUGAGUAGUUGAGUUUCUGAGUCGGGAAUCUCUCCACGCCUUCGGGGGAAAAUAUAUCCUUGAUAGUCAACAUUGCCCUUAGCUUCCUCUAAAUAGAACUGAAGCCAGUUGUGAAAUCCAGACACCUCUUUCUCCCCGCGUUCCUUAAUCUCUCCAACAAAAACAUGUUCAAAAGCUGAAGAGCUAGCGGAUGUACCACCUCGACUAUAAAGGUCAAACCAGAGACGUGUCAACAUUCUCUUAAGUUCUUCAUAAUCACCAGAAAUUAUGCCUUUCAAUGACAGAUACUUGUGCAGAUAUUUAAUUGGUGCGGUUCUACUGAUCUCUUCUAUGAAUGCUGUUUGUUCUCGCUUUUCUUCAGGUGUUACAUUCUCCUUAACACCCUGAUUUGGAUUAUAAUUAUCCAAAAGGGAACAGAAACGAGAAUAAGAAGGCUUGUUAAAUACGUCGUCAUUCAGCCAGGAAAAUAAGCACCCUUCUGCCAUAUCAUCCUUAUUGUACACCUUUUUCCCUUCACCACACUCAAUCUGGUAAUCUUUCCCUGGAACUAAGCGGUUAAGAUCAAGUUCCCAGAGCUUGUUGCAAGCUUUCGAUAAGUCUGAUAGCUCUUCUUCGGAGGGUUCCAUGUCAACUCCAUAUUCAACCUCAUUGGAGUAAUCUUGCUCAUCAAGAGGCUUUUUGUAAUUGUUCCAAGAAUCCAUUUUUACCUGUUGGUGCCGUUUAGUAGGCUUUUUCUGGACAGUCUCCCAGCCGUCACUGUUUCCCUCGCCCUCCUUUUGGUUCCAACAGCUUUGGUUGACAUUGUCUCUCCUCUCGUCUUCAUUUCUUUGGUACCCCUUUUGGGGCAUCAUGUGAGGCCUUGAUUCCUCAUUUCUCCCAUAUCUCUCAUCCUGUAUAUUAUAUCCAGUUCUACUAUCAGUAUUAACCCCAUCAUCUUCCUGCUCCCCUGUCACCACCUGCGCCCAACUGGAUCUUGACCGUUCAUCACGAUCUUGAUUGUCUCUUUCAUUUUCAUCAUUGCCCAAAGCCACAUUCAACAACCCUUUUACUAAACCUUCCAUUGUUGAUCAAAUCAACAAAAGGGAAUUGUUAUUAUUAUUUUUUUAUUUUCUUUAUUUUUUAUUACAAACA